AAGGAACGCGGUGCGAGUCCGCGGCUGUCCCGCAACUGUCAGGGCCCGCGCGCCGCCCGCCGGAGCGCCGCCCGAGCCAGGAACUU
rnacentral:ncRNA from 1 species